rnacentral:lncRNA from 1 species
AGGCAUAUGGAGGUUCCCGGGUUAAGGGUCAAAUAGGAGCUGUAGCCACUGGCCUAUACCACAGCCAUAGAAACACCAGAUCCAAGCUGGAUCUGCGACCUGCACCACAGCUCACGGCAACACCGGAUCCUUAACCCACUGAGUGAGCCCAGGAUUUGAACCUGCGUCCUCAUGGAUGCUAGUCAGAUUCAUUUCUGCUGAACAAAAAUCAUCACGACUUUUGCAUUCACUGGGAGAAAUAAGAUAAUACUACUACUAAGUGACCAGUGACAGGCAAAGAAACAGGUUAACUGUAAGAGUAAAUUAUUAAGCUCAUAAAAUCUAGGCAAGUCACAUAAACUGCAAACCUCAGUUUCUCCAUCUAUAAAAUGGUAAAAAUAAAAUUUGUCUAACCUAAAUUCAUAAGGUGGCUAUGAGGAACAAAUAUAAUAUAGCAAAAAACAAAGCAAGUCAGGAUUUGUUAAGAACUACUAAGUUUUGAUGUUAGCUAAUUCCUGAUUCAAGGAUUCAAAAAAUAUUUAAGGUGUUUAAGAUGAGAUUUCAUGUUUAUAUUAAUACUAGCCAUUGACAGCCAUUUAUAAUUUAUUGAAACAUAAAUGCUGAGGAAGGCAACAAAGAAAUGCUUUCUACUAGAAAAAAAAAAACAAAAUUAUCAGGUCUCUCUGGCUUAUUAGUUAAGCUAAAAUAAAAUUACUUGGUAUAUAGAUUCCAAUUUAAUGCUAGACAAAAUAAUGGGUAAAAUGUUAUGAGGAAAAACACAUAGUAUUUCCUAAAGCUUUCUGAAAAAAGAAGACGGCACCUUGCUUCGUAGAUUUUAAGAAGUGUUAUCAUUUUGUUCUACCCCUUAGAGUUAUGUACACAAUCUUAAAUUCUAAGGCUUAGAAAGUUACAUAAUCUCUAAGUACUUCAAAUUACUUCAUCAAAAUGCAGGGGCAGGACUAAGUAAAACCUAAGGUUUGAACUUCUAAGAUUCUAAUGAAGAGCACUAGUAAUAAAUGAACACAUACAUAGAGAGGCAGUUACGAUGCUAUAAGAAACAAAGCCUUUGUACAAAGCUUUACAAAAAAAGUUAAAAAAAAUACCUUGUGAUUACUCCUUAUUGAUGAAAUGUCAGAGUGAUUUCCUAGUCUAAAAAGCAGUACCUUGGGCUGGGAGAAAUAAUAGAGAAUUAUAACAGCUUCCAAGUGUCAGAAAUCUCUAAGUGUAGAGCUCAGUGCAGUUAAAACUAAACACUGUAAGAAUGCUACCUCGAUAUAAACACACUCAAGAGUUUUUAAAAAGCUUUCAAGAUAUUGUGCUGGCCCCUUCAACUGAAUAAGAUGAAAAAUUUGUAGCCCAGAUGGUGACAUUUACAUCAAAUAAAUAACCGCAAAAAAGAUGUGCUAUGAGUUCAUUACAAAUAAAGUUCCAGCUUUCAAUGAAGACUUAUCUCAUUUAAUUAGCCAAUUAAAUAUUCCAAGUAAAACUUCAUUUGCUGAAAGGAAACGGUAUAAUGUUUCUUUUCUAAUCAUUUAUUCUUAAAUGUUUUUGUUGUAGGUACAAAAAGAAAGCUAUUAAGUAAAUAAUUUCAAUCAUUUUAACAACAGGUUAUAAAAGUUGAAUAGCCGAAUAUGUUGAAAAAUAUAACAUCAGCGCUAAUGGAAAUCAUUCUUCUAUCGCCAAAAUUCCCUGAAGAGUAUAAGCCAUUCCAAUUCUAUGUCUUUCUCACAACCCCACCUUCAAAGAUGCUGCCUUAAAACUAUUCAAAGUAGCAAGAUUUUCCUAGAAUGGCUGUUUGACGAGUUGGGAGAACCUCUCCCUCUCUCCCAACAUACCACUUAUUACUCUGGCAAAAAUUAGCAAAGAUAAUGAUUCAGAAUUCUUGGAGAUCAAUCAAUGGGCUUGCAACAAACGGCAAAGCAUUUAUUUAACAAAAUUCAUGAACGCUGGGUGCUAACAGUGGGAGCCAUGGCAUUCUGUACCUGACCCCUCAUGACUCUGUUCCAGUAGGCUCAUCACCACUGAUCCCUGAAGUGGAAGAGUGGUGGGCCUGACAGCUGGCAAACAUCAGCAGAUUAUCAUUUCCCUUGGCUCUACUGCAGAAGACCUACACCAAGGAGGUGGCAGCACCCUUUCUGCUGUUCCUGAUUCCCAUUGCUAGAUCAGGGCUGUAGAAGAUUGAUGCUACAUGGCAGGAUUAAUUCCUAUUCACACACAAACACAUUCACAGUUCCUGCUCCACAGGGAAGAUCCAGGUGGAAAGCUGGUAAAGGGAAAGCUGCUCAUCACAUGAGCUAUUGAUCCAUAGCUCCAAACCUGGGAAAGCACCUUAGCAAGCCUCAAAGACUGGGAGCACCCGAAUCCUGGCCAAGGAACCAGACAUUGUUUGGACAGCAAGUGUGGCAAUCUGUGCCCUGGAGCAUUAUUGCAAACAAGAGCAAUCAGCUAUUGCUGGGGUGGAAUUCCCUCCUCCAAAAGUUUGAAGUCCUAACCACCUCCCAUCUGUAAAUGUGACCUCAUUUGGAAACAGGGUCUCUGCAGAUAUAAUCAAGUUAAAGGUCAUUAGGGCAGACUGUAAUCUAGUAUGACUGGUGUCCUUAUAAGGAGAAAAAUUCAGAUGCACACAUGCAGAUGAGAACAUGCCAAGACAGACACAUGAGGAAAGAUGGCUGUGUGAAGAAGGCAGAGGCAGAGACGGUAGAGAUGCACCUACAAGCCAAAUGAGUGCAAGGACUGCUGGCAACACCAGAAGUCAGAAUAGUCAAGGAAGGAAUCCCCUACAGGUUUCAGAGGAAUGAAGGCCCUCAGGAUACCUUAAUUUCGGACUUCUAGACUUCAGAACUGUGAGACAAUCAAUUUCUGCCGUUUUAGGUCACUCGGUUUGUGGUAAUUUGUUACAGAAGCCCUAGAAAACUCGCAGAGCUAGAAAUUAAGAGGCUGACAGCUGAGUGUGAUAGUAGACAAGAGACUAGGGGAUGAAGAGGGUAGUCAAAGAGAACCCACUAGGAGUUCCCACUGUAGCACAGUGGGUUAAGAGUCCAACUGCAGCAGCUCAGUUUGCUGCAGAGGCACAGAUUCAAUCCCCAACCAGGGGCAGUAGGUUAAAGGAUCUGGCAUUGCAGCAACUGUAGUGUAGGUCGAAGCUGUGGACUG